UUGGAAGUCCUUGGUCCCUUCCACCAAUGAUUAAGUGCUGGCUGUGGGCAGACUGGCUCCUGGGGAGGGGAGGUGGGCUCAGCAGGUGGCCCUGGUGUAGGGUAACCUUCAGCCUGGCACACCUGGGACAGCCUUGGAUGUUGGGGCCACUAACCUGGCACAUAAGCCCCUUCUCUCUCCCAGUGCACCGGCUGCUGACCCAUGCCCUGGGCCACACGGCCCUGCCGGGCCUGCUCCUGAGCCUGCUGCUCCUGCCUACUGUGGGCUGGCAGCAGGAGUGCCACCUGGGCACGCUGAGAUUCCUGCAUGCCUCAGCCCUGCUCGCCCUGGCUUCUGGGCUGCUGGCAGUGCUGCUGGCAGGCCUUGGGCUGUCCAGUGCAGCCGGCAGCUGUGGAUACAUGCCUGUCCACCUGGCCAUGCUGGCUGGGGAGGGACACCACCCUAGACGGCCCCGUGGGGCACUGCCACCGUGGCUGCCGCCGUGGCUGCUGCUUGCCCUGACCCCACUGCUCAGCUCUGAGCCACCCUUCCUGCAGCUCCUUUGCGGCCUCCUUGCUGGCCUGGCCUACAGAUGCAGCUGGGGCCUUCCGGUGGCUGGAACCCUCAGAGCGAUGGCUGCAGGUGCUGCAGGAGGGCGUCUUGUGCAGGACCUUGGCGGGGUGCUGGCCCCUGAGGCUCCUUGCCACCCCGGGCAGCCUGGCGGAGCUGCCUGUCACCCAUCCUGCCGGAGUGAGGCCUCCCAUCCCUGGACCGCCUUAUGUGGCCUCCCCUGACCUCUGGUCCCACUGGGAAGACUCAGCCCUGCCCCCACCAAGCCUGAGGCCUGUGCAGCCCACCUGGGAGGGCUCC
rnacentral:sRNA from 1 species